ensembl:processed_transcript 1700108F19Rik RIKEN cDNA 1700108F19 gene
GAGCCCAGUGCUCUUGUCUCUGUUACGUACUGCCUCACAUUUCUUUCUGUUGAUUGUUGUCUGCGUGGAAAGUCAGAGUUGGGAGCAGGGGCUAUGAAGUUGAGCAUAUAGGUGGAGUGUAAGGGAGAGGGAAAUGGAUGAGGUCAUACUAUUGCAAUCACUUGGAAAAAAAAUACACAAACUUCCAAAACUGCAAGAUGCGUUCUACUGCCACCAGACAUCCUUUAGAGGUUUUCCUACAGAUUAAUAACCAGGAACUUGUUGGCGUCUGACAGGAGCAUCUCAGAUUUCUUACAUAAAAUGUGGAAUUGUCAACAGUCAGAUGCAUCAGUGGCCAAGGCUAUGGUGUGCAGUUUCUAUCAGCGUGUACAGGACAUCCUGCCUGGUUUUGGCCUCAAGGAAGCAAUGGUGAGAUUUCAUAGCUCAUCGUCUCCUGGUUGGAGCAAAGGGUGCCAAACAGAGGUCAAGCUUGGGCCACAGGGAAACUGGGAAAAUACGUCCAUUGCCAUGUGCGAGGAGUCCAGUGGAUUUCAGAAAUCGUCUGUGUCUUCUUAUAGGAUACAGUAACAGCCCCUUACUGGAAGAACAUUUUUAGGUAAUCCCCACGACAGGGUGACAUACACUGAUGUUGGAGCAUUUAAAUAAAAUGUCUCACUGUGUA